CUGCUGUGGGGAGAUCAAAUGAAUAUGGCUAUCAAUACCAGCGGCGGUUAGGAUCAAAUGCUCACCGGAAAUGGCAUCAGUGCUAACACCGACUACCAUGCCUGGCGUCACCCCAUCCAUCACACCGGGGUUACCACUCUUACCGAUACCGGCAAUUUUGCCAUCGCGAAUACCGACGUCAGCCUUAAUUACCCCUAAACGGGCAUCAACAAUGGUGACGUUGGUUAUCACUAAAUCCAGCACACCAUUAUCGCGGGUCAGAUGGUUAUUCGCCCCCAUCCCGUCACG
rnacentral:sRNA from 1 species